rnacentral:lncRNA from 1 species
CCAAAUGCACAAGUUUUUUAACAUACACUUCAUCAAUAUACAAACAAAAUAGAACAUAGAAUAGCAAUAAAACGCCAUAUAACACGCAAUGUUUUCUAAAAUGUUGUACAUAAUUGUUAACGCAUAAUGUCAUUCAACGAGUCCAGAUUAACCAAAACGAUAGUCACAAGUAUGACUAUCGAAAAUUCAACAAAACUAAAAAUAGAAGGAAUGAGUCCCUAAUGCUUAAACUCACUCAAAAGUAUGCCUUCUAGCACUGAUGCAUCCUCGUAUUCAUGUGGACAAGAUGAUGAAUUAGCCACUAUGAUAAUCGAAUAGGCAGAAGAAGGAGGGCCAUUGUAGAUGGUGGUCCCACAUGAACAUUCAAAACCGACACAAGAAGGAUAUCCACUGCAGGAGGUGGUCCUACAAGGAAGAUCACAUUAGUUGGAGGGAAAUUGGGCAAGAUCGUUCAAAGCGUCGACCUUUUGUUCAUGUUAUAAUCUAUUCAAACAUCGUGUUAUCUUGUCAUAGGAUUUUUUUUUGCAAGAGGGGAAGAAAACGACAAUCAACACGCUUUAUUCCCUUCUUCCUGAGGGAGUGAUUCUUUGUACAACAUAUUGCUUGAAAGCAAACAUAUUGAACGAAUGACAAAAUAAGACAAACAUUGACAUGUGACCACACUUUGGAUUAUAGCAGAUGAAAUUGUGAUGAAUCCUGUUCGAUUCUAUUUUCUAAAUUGAAUCGGUAAUCUAAAAGAAGAAGGAAAAAAAACUCAAUCAAACGACCAUGUUUUAAGAGAAUGUGUGGUUGAAAUGCCUAAAGUACAACGAAUUCACCCAAGUUUGGUUGAAAAUUGACAUAACGAGAUAUAAUUGAGAUUAGGGGGUAAAUUUUUGUAAAUGGAAAAUGAGUGAAU